rnacentral:rRNA from 1 species
GUGAACGCUGGCGGUAGGCCUAACCCAUGCAAGUCGAACGGCAGCACAGUAAGAGCUUGCUCUUACUGGUGGCGAGUGGCGGACGGGUGAGGAAUACAUCGGAAUCUACUUUUUCGUGGGGGAUAACGUAGGGAAACUUACGCUAAUACCGCAUACGCCCUACGGGUGAAAGCAGGGGAUCUUCGGACCUUGCGCGAUUGAAUGAUCCGAUGUCGGAUUCGCUAGUUGGCGGGGUAAAGUCCCACCAAGGCGACGAUCCGUAGCUGGUCUGAGAGGAUGAUCAGCCACACUGGAACGGAGACACGGUCCAGACUCCUGAGGGAGGCAGCAGUGGGGAAUAGUGGACAAUGGGCGCAAGCAUGAUCCAGCCAGACCGCGUGGGUGAAGAAGGCCUUCGGGGUGUAAAGACCUUUUGUUGGGAAAGAAAAGCAGCAGGUUAAUACCCAGCUGUUCUGACGGUACCCAAAGAAUAAGCACCGGCUAACUUCGUG